GCAUGGUGGCGCAGUGGUUAGCGCUGCCGCCUCACAGCAAGAAGGUUGUGGGUUCGAAUCCAGCCUGGCG